rnacentral:rRNA from 1 species
AUGGUCUCCAUGGCGGCGGCCAAGAUCGCCGUCCUUCUGGCCGCGACGGCGCUCUUCGCCGCAGCAGGAGCAGCGGACCCCCAACCUCCCCCAACCGGAAAUGAAACCCAGUGCUGGCAGUGCUACUCCACCUGCAUGCACAAGUGCGACAACAGCAGCUGCGGCGACGUCCAGAAGUACUUCCAGUGCAAGAAGUCGUGCAUCCUGGACUGCUACAAGGAACUGCCGCCGGUGUGCUUCAAGAUGUGCAUCUCCCAGACCUGCCUCACCCUGCCACCAGAUAAACAGGUGGAUUGCUACAAGGCAUGUGGGACCAAAUGCUUCCAUAACCACCCGUACCCCGGGCCAAACCCGGGUCCAACGCCGCCCGGACCUCCGAAGCCGAUGCCACCGCCAGGACCUCCGAAGCCCAUGCCACCGCCGCCGUCGCCCAUGCCGCCGAAGCCAACCCCGCCGAAAGCCACCUAA